GUUGACGAUAAAGGCAAUGGCGUAGACACAGUGAGAUUGUUUACACCGCCAAAGUGUCAGUGUAGCACUUUGGUGGUGGUAAAACACUGAGGUCUCGCGUUAGUGGCCUUGGCUCUGGUGCGUGUCAGCGACUGUCUUUGGCAACAGUGACUAGAGCGGCAGUGAGGCAGAGGGAAGUUGUUGCUGUGAGACUAAGACCCGCUUCCACAAACGCAUUGGCGUCUUACUACCAACACUUUUAACAGAUUCAGGUGGAAGUUACAGCAAAUUCUCAAGUGGUAGAAUUCUGCGUCAUCAAUGGAAGGAAAAACAAAAACAAAAAACAACACCACCUGACUAAUCAUAUCAGCAACCCUUGAAAACAUUACUAAUGAGAGCCUGAAGUGUUUCAAAUCUGGGGACGGGAACCUGUGCUAUCGUCAAUGUUUAGAUAAAGCGUUCAACAGCAGACGACACGCACAGUAUUCAGCAGAUCCCGGAAACGAGAAAAGAAGAAUCUUGGGGACCAGCACGCCUUUACUCACCCCUACGAGCGUGCAGGCCAUGUAGGCGAACCCAAUCACGACGGAGGGGUUUCCGAAGCUCCUGCGGUAGGGAUUGACGGAAGAAAAGAACACGAAGACCACCACGAAGGUUAAGAGAAACUCCAGACCCAGACCUUGCCACUGGGUGAUGACUUGUGACACCGAGGUGGCUCCCAGGUCACCCGUGUAGCCAGAUGACGUCGCCCUGAAGGAGAAAGACAUACAUUGCCGAGGUAAAGUGGGACGAAACAAAUGAACAAUUCACUCAAGCUCUCCAACAUGCAUGGGCGGCGAAGCGAGGCCCGAACCCUUGCCGUGGUCACCUACAGCCUGGCGAACAGUCCAUCUGUUUUAGGAUGAAGAGAAUGACGUCACUCAAUCGCCCACGUGAACCUCGAUCCACCUGGAACUCCCCUGGACAAAGAGAGAUGAGUUUUCAUGUCUACGUGCCACAGUCAACCACCAGCACACGGCAAGGGCAUGACAUCAACGCCAGUACAUGAAAGAGGUGUUUCAGAAUAUGUUCCAAAAAGAAGAGGAAACUAUUAGUUGCGCAAUGCUCCAGUCCCUUUAUGUCGCGCCGCCGCCACCCAGAGCCGAGCCGAGGACCUUGUGACACCUACCCCAAUGUGGCGUCACCGGCCCGCCCAUCUCUGGUUUUGUAACUCAACUCCCACGUCAACAGUGAGAACGCAAGUCGGUUCCAGAAGUGAGAAGACCGACCGACCGACCGACCAACCAACCAACCAACCAACCAACCAAUCAACCAACCAGCCAGCCAGCCAGCCAGCCAGCAAACCAGCAAGCACUCACUCACCAAGCAUUGAGAGGACAGACAAUCCCUGACCAUGAAUACCUCCCUAACACACACGCCGCUAUUUCCUGCCGCCUGACAAAUGAGAGAGGGAGGAGAGGAAGGAUGACACCUAUUCACCGCUACUGCUGCCUCCUCCGUCACCACUACCACCAAGUCAAAUUCCUCUCCCUGUCGUUUCCUUCUCCUUACACUCCUUCGCUAAAUGUCACCCCAUGCAGUCUAGGGGGGGUUAUUAUUCACCUCACCUUCUACCUACACCCUCCUCCACCUUUCCUUCGCCUCUUAUUGCCUAUAGACUGCGCGCUGCUCCCACACGUCUCCCCCUAUUCACAGCUACUGACGGAAAUAACAUCCUUAAUAAUGGAUGAAUUCAAGUCGAGGUGAGCUCCCGGUCCCUUCCUCAAGCCUCUUACCACCCUCACUCCCUCCCUCUCUUUCUCCUCGUGGCAGUCUUUCAGCGCGGAUCGUCACCGUUCUGGCCGCCUACAGCUAAGACGCGAGGCUUUACGGCGGCUUAGUAACUGCGAGAGAGAGAGAGAGAGAGAGAGAGAGAGAGAGAGAGAGAGAGAGAGAGAGAGAGAGAGAGAGAGAGAGAGAGAGAGAGAG